CUCAUUUCCUACACUUUAAUCACAUCUUAAUUGUUUGUUUUCAAAUCCGCUGUGCUGGUGGCAAAAUUACAAAAAUAGUCUUUGUCUAGCAAAUUUUGAGCUUGUCUGUCUAAAUAUCGAGCAUUUAUGGGAUCCUGAGGUCCACACACAAACACACGGUACACCACUCCUCUGUACUGAAAAUAAAUACAUCUUUAUUUUCUCAUCUCUAUAGAGUGUCCCCUCCUUGCAUCCCAUUUAAGACAUCAGUACAAAAUACACAUAAUCAAUAUUAGACAUUAACAGAAAUGAGUAGACACCCACAGUCCGACAUUAAAAUGAAAUUAGAAGUGUGUGAAGGAUUUCUGAUCAGCGAGCACGGAGAGAAAGUUUUCCGCAAACACAAAUUCAGCAAAGUCUGAAGAGAAUCAGAGGACAAAAGUCUCGUUCAUACCAGUUUGGACUGGACUAAAUAUUUAUGCCACAUGACAACACCUGAGCCAGGUGCUCGAUGACAAUGCUGAUGCUAAAUGUUGCUGAAAGCUUCACAUGACUAGGGAGUGCACCUUGGACCUUAGAUAUAUUGUUUCCAAAGACAAAGGACGUACAUCCAUACACACAAAGAUCAGCUUUCAGGACAUAAUUUCAGUCCUAAUGCAAGUAUGCGUGGAAGUUCAAAGUAAUCACGACAAGAUCAUAAACCCAACGACAUGACUUAAAAACAAAAUAAAACCUAAUGUUUAGGGCGUGGAUGCCUUAAACACAUUCAGCUCCCACAUUUACAUUUGUAUUCAUCAAUAACUAAUGGUACAUGCAGAAAGCUGAGAGCGACCACAUAAACAAAGGCUUUAAUGCUAAAGAAAACAGGUUUUUAAUGCUUCUGUGAUCAAGCAGAAGAUUCAAAUUUCCCAGAAUAAAAGCAGCAAGUUUCAGGUUUAUCUGUAUUAAGACAUGCGGUUUGCACUGAUCACAUCUGAAAUGUUGGCAGUUUAUCAACAAGAUAUCCACAGAUGAGCUCCGUAUGAUCAAAAAGCACAUUUACAUUAUUGCACAAGUGAAACUAACGUGCCAAUGCAGCUAAAUCUAGCUAAGCUCUUCUCUCUGACUUGCCAGUACAUCAUCAUCCACAUCAUCAUCACGGUCCCCAUGACAACUUACAGAAAUCUCUGUCAUCUACAAUGUCAGCAUCUCAUGACUUUGCACGCUGACUUCAUCACCUGCUCAAGCACGAUCGACAUGAAGAAAAAAAACCCAAACAAACACACGAGAAACAAAAACUCCCUGAUUUUACAGCUUAGCUUAGCACAAAGACUGGAAAAAGGGGGCUAGGUGUUGAUGUGGCUCAUCCAAAGAGAACAAAACACCUUUUCUCGCAGCUCCAAAUCUGUCAAAUUCAAAUGCUUUUUUUUUGGUUUGUUUUUUGUUUUUUUAAAAAGCUGGAGGCCAUGAUAGCACGUCUAUCAGCGUCAUAGACAUGCUAACAAAUCUUGCACCUGUUGUUAUGCUGAUAAUUUCUGAUAACCACAGGUUAUCCAUAUAAACAAAACUUAGUGUACUCUAACAUAAAAUGGGUUAUUAUUAAAGUUACUGUGAUCUGAGUAGAGCAGCAGGAGGACUAUGACGAUAAUGGAGGCGAUGAUGAUGCAUCAGAAACUCUUGUCUACUUUAAAACCCUUUUUAAGCAAUUAAGGUGAAAUGUGCAUGGAAUGAGUCAUUUUAAGGUGGAAAAAGUUCAGCACUAUUAUUAAAGAUUAAGGAAUGCAGACCUUUACAGUCUCUAACAGUGUACAGCUUAAUGGAUGAUUGGGGCAUUUUUCUUAUUUUUAAGGCUCAAUUCUGCCUAAUUCAAUAAUAGAAAGAAGUCUCCUUGAGGGUAAAUAUCCACUUUCUGGCUCCACCCCAACAUUGUGUAGGACAAAAGAGUUUCACCUGUGGGGUUCACGCCAUAAAGAAGUUUUUCAAAUGUUUGUUUAGGGGGCUUAGAAGCAGCUGCUUCAUGUUUAAAGCAUCCAGCUGAUUAAGAAAAAAAGAAGGCAGCUCCACGAUGUGACAAAGUGAAACAGAGUUGAAGUCAGAAGCAACUGCUCUUCAAACAUGAAUUAUUUUACAUACUGCCGAACAGCCCGGGACUACAAUGCUUCAAGUGCCCCUGUUGUUCUUGUUUUUGCCCACCUUUCCUUUAGGUCUGCUGUAUAGCUUAUGUGUGAACUUGGAAAGUCCACAUGUUUGUUGCUCAUAUGGUUCUUCUGUUACUGUCUAACACACUGGCCUCCCUGACAGCUGUCAGAGGACGAGUAGCUGGGAACAAUUUAGACAGUGCAAAGAGAAGCUGCAGGAAUGUGCAGAAUGAUUAAAUACUAUGUCAUCUAUAAUAUAUAAAAAUUUGUGUGUGUUUUAAGUUAAAAAACCAAACAAACACAAUAUGUAAACACAUUCUAGUAGAUCCCCCAAAAUAAAAUUGAGUCUAUAUUAUGAGCAUAACAUGGCUCUUUGAAAUUGUUAACUUUAAAAAUACUCAGAUACAUAAUGCCCAGAAACAGUUUUCACUGCUUUUUUUGUUUUUAAACAACUAAUAAAAUAUUCCCAAUAAAGGUCCAGGGAGAAUUCUGAGUAACCAAGGUGCCGUUUCACUUUCAGAUUUAUUAAAUUUCAUUUUUCACUGCUGUGAUCAGCACAAAAUUUAAUUAAAUUAAUGCUCAUCGUGGAACAGAAGCAAAAAUUUCAGAUGUUCUAGAAAAUUGUAGAGCUUUAAAAAAAAUAAAGCAGGAAGAGAGGAAAUAUACCCAACGGCCACUUCAUUAAACCCAUCUGCCUAACACUGCUUUAGGUUCCCAUCAUUGUAAUUAAAACAGCUCUGACCCACUGGGGCAUGAACUCCGGGAUGUUCUGUGGUAUCUGGCACCAGGACACUGACACCAAAUCCUUUCCUGCUGUUGUCGUUUGGCUGUGGAGUGCAGCCUGUUUUAUUCUGGCAGUGUUUGCAGUGCACUUGGCACAUCGUCCUCGCUGCACCGAGAUGAGCGGUGGUUCUAAUGUUGUGGCCGACUGGGCUGAACUAAAGCUUUAACUGCUGAGGUUUUGAACACUGACGCCACAGUUGGUUACAUUCAGUAAUCUUACAUUGUUCUUUAAAGGUGAUCAUGGACAAGAUAAUUCUGAUUAGUAUUAUGUGCAGUUGCACAGUUCAGCUCUAUGAUUUCUUUAAAUACAAUUAUCCAAACAUGUCUUCCACUAGUGUCAUCUGAUUUCCUGCUGGGAUCAGAGGAGAUUUGACAGAACUGGGAUUAGUAGUGGUCAUACUGGCAGGUGUGAGCAAACUAGUAUACUAGUAUAACUAGCAUAACUAGCAAAAGUGGCAGUGGUUGUAGUUAGGUGCGUCUGCUGUUUGAUCACAACAGUUUAGAAAGGGAAGAAGGGACGUCGCUGGUGUCUCUGGGUGGCAUAGCCAUGAAGCAUCAGACCACUGCAGUAGAUGCAACCAGGUGGGGGCGGGGCUAUUCACAUACAGGUGACGUUUCAUCAUCAGUGUUAGAGACGUACAGUGUACCAGACACACAUUGUGUUCCACAGUGUUACGCAGCUAUACAGUGAUACAGACAGACAGUGGUGUCUCUCAGGCUGUGAUUGAAAGGGGCGGUGCUCUGCUGUUGCUGUGACUACACGGGGGGUUGCCUGGCGGGUAGUGGUGACGACUGUGGUGAAACGGCAGCCAAGAGCUCGCUGUAGAUCUCCCGUCGCACCUCUUGCGCCACACUCUCUCGAAUCUGGAAAACAAGAGAUAAAAGAGGUGAAAUUGCUUAUAAACUUGACCUGCUCCCUCAGAUUGUUGUGGAGAAUCCUCCUUUAAUUUAAGCUUUUAAUGGAAAGAC
ensembl:lncRNA